rnacentral:lncRNA from 1 species
UAUAGCAAAAUAAGAACACUAAUAACACUAUCAAUCUUCUCAUUUCUUCAUAACAAUAUACAAAAUUUAGCAAAACAAGAACACUAGUAACACUAUUAAUCUUCUCAUUUCUUGAUAACAAUAUACAAAAUUUAGCAAAACAAGAGCACUAAUAACACUAUCAAUCUUCUCAUUUCUUGAUAACAAUAUACAAAAUUUGGCAAAACAAGAAACUAUCAAUCUUCUCAUUUCUUGAUAACAAUAUACAAAAUUAAAAAAAAAACAAGAACACUAAUAACACUAUCGAUCUUCUCAUUUCUUGAUAACAAUAUACAAAAUUUAGCAAAACAAGAACACUAAAAACACUAUCAAUCUUCUCAUUUCUUGAUAACAAUAUACAAAAUUUAGCAAAACAAGAACACUAAUAACACUAUCAAUCUUCUCAUUUCUUGAUAACAAUAUACAAAAUUUAGCAAAACAAGAACACUAAUAACACUAUCAAUCUUCUCAUUUCUUGAUAACAAUAUACAAAAUUUAGCAAAACAAGAACACUAAUAACACUAUCAAUCUUCUCAUUUCUUGAUAACAAUAUACAAAAUUUAGCAAAACAAGAACACUAAUAACACUAUCAAUCUUCUCAUUUCUUGAUAACAAUAUACAAAAUUUAGCAAAACAAGAACACUAAUAACACUAUCAAUCUUCUCAUUUCUUGAUAACAAUAUACAAAAUUUAGCAAAACAAGAACACUAAUAACACUAUCAAUCUUCUCAUUUCUUGAUAACAAUAUACAAAAUUUAGCAAAACAAGAACACUAAUAACACUAUCAAUCUUCUCAUUUCUUGAUAACAAUAUACAAAAUUUAGCAAAACAAGAACACUAAUAACACUAUCAAUCUUCUCAUUUCUUGAUAACAAUAUACAAAAUUUAGCAAAACAAGAACACUAAUAACACUAUCAAUCUUCUCAUUUCUUGAUAACAAUAUACAAAAUUUAGCAAAACAAGAACACUAAUAACACUAUCAAUCUUCUCAUUUCUUGAUAACAAUAUACAAAAUUUAGCAAAACAAGAACACUAAUAACACUAUCAAUCUUCUCAUUUCUUGAUAACAAUAUACAAAAUUUAGCAAAACAAGAACACUAAUAACACUAUCAAUCUUCUCAUUUCUUGAUAACAAUAUACAAAAUUUAGCAAAACAAGAACACUAAUAACACUAUCAAUCUUCUCAUUUCUUGAUAACAAUAUACAAAAUUUAGCAAAACAAGAACACUAAUAACACUAUCAAUCUUCUCAUUUCUUGAUAACAAUAUACAAAAUUUAGCAAAACAAGAACACUAAUAACACUAUCAAUCUUCUCAUUUCUUGAUAACAAUAUACAAAAUUUAGCAAAACAAGAACACUAAUAACACUAUCAAUCUUCUCAUUUCUUGAUAACAAUAUACAAAAUUUAGCAAAACAAGAACACUAAUAACACUAUCAAUCUUCUCAUUUCUUGAUAACAAUAUACAAAAUUUAGCAAAACAAGAACACUAAUAACACUAUCAAUCUUCUCAUUUCUUGAUAACAAUAUACAAAAUUUAGCAAAACAAGAACACUAAUAACACUAUCAAUCUUCUCAUUUCUUGAUAACAAUAUACAAAAUUUAGCAAAACAAGAACACUAAUAACACUAUCAAUCUUCUCAUUUCUUGAUAACAAUAUACAAAAUUUAGCAAAACAAGAACACUAAUAACACUAUCAAUCUUCUCAUUUCUUGAUAACAAUAUACAAAAUUUAGCAAAACAAGAACACUAAUAACACUAUCAAUCUUCUCAUUUCUUGAUAACAAUAUACAAAAUUUAGCAAAACAAGAACACUAAUAACACUAUCAAUCUUCUCAUUUCUUGAUAACAAUAUACAAAAUUUAGCAAAACAAGAACACUAAUAACACUAUCAAUCUUCUCAUUUCUUGAUAACAAUAUACAAAAUUUAGCAAAACAAGAACACUAAUAACACUAUCAAUCUUCUCAUUUCUUGAUAACAAUAUACAAAAUUUAGCAAAACAAGAACACUAAUAACACUAUCAAUCUUCUCAUUUCUUGAUAACAAUAUACAAAAUUUAGCAAAACAAGAACACUAAUAACACUAUCAAUCUUCUCAUUUCUUGAUAACAAUAUACAAAAUUUAGCAAAACAAGAACACUAAUAACACUAUCAAUCUUCUCAUUUCUUGAUAACAAUAUACAAAAUUUAGCAAAACAAGAACACUAAUAACACUAUCAAUCUUCUCAUUUCUUGAUAACAAUAUACAAAAUUUAGCAAAACAAGAACACUAAUAACACUAUCAAUCUUCUCAUUUCUUGAUAACAAUAUACAAAAUUUAGCAAAACAAGAACACUAAUAACACUAUCAAUCUUCUCAUUUCUUGAUAACAAUAUACAAAAUUUAGCAAAACAAGAACACUAAUAACACUAUCAAUCUUCUCAUUUCUUGAUAACAAUAUACAAAAUUUAGCAAAACAAGAACACUAAUAACACUAUCAAUCUUCUCAUUUCUUGAUAACAAUAUACAAAAUUUAGCAAAACAAGAACACUAAUAACACUAUCAAUCUUCUCAUUUCUUGAUAACAAUAUACAAAAUUUAGCAAAACAAGAACACUAAUAACACUAUCAAUCUUCUCAUUUCUUGAUAACAAUAUACAAAAUUUAGCAAAACAAGAACACUAAUAACACUAUCAAUCUUCUCAUUUCUUGAUAACAAUAUACAAAAUUUAGCAAAACAAGAACACUAAUAACACUAUCAAUCUUCUCAUUUCUUGAUAACAAUAUACAAAAUUUAGCAAAACAAGAACACUAAUAACACUAUCAAUCUUCUCAUUUCUUGAUAACAAUAUACAAAAUUUAGCAAAACAAGAACACUAAUAACACUAUCAAUCUUCUCAUUUCUUGAUAACAAUAUACAAAAUUUAGCAAAACAAGAACACUAAUAACACUAUCAAUCUUCUCAUUUCUUGAUAACAAUAUACAAAAUUUAGCAAAACAAGAACACUAAUAACACUAUCAAUCUUCUCAUUUCUUGAUAACAAUAUACAAAAUUUAGCAAAACAAGAACACUAAUAACACUAUCAAUCUUCUCAUUUCUUGAUAACAAUAUACAAAAUUUAGCAAAACAAGAACACUAAUAACACUAUCAAUCUUCUCAUUUCUUGAUAACAAUAUACAAAAUUUAGCAAAACAAGAACACUAAUAACACUAUCAAUCUUCUCAUUUCUUGAUAACAAUAUACAAAAUUUAGCAAAACAAGAACACUAAUAACACUAUCAAUCUUCUCAUUUCUUGAUAACAAUAUACAAAAUUUAGCAAAACAAGAACACUAAUAACACUAUCAAUCUUCUCAUUUCUUGAUAACAAUAUACAAAAUUUAGCAAAACAAGAACACUAAUAACACUAUCAAUCUUCUCAUUUCUUGAUAACAAUAUACAAAAUUUAGCAAAACAAGAACACUAAUAACACUAUCAAUCUUCUCAUUUCUUGAUAACAAUAUACAAAAUUUAGCAAAACAAGAACACUAAUAACACUAUCAAUCUUCUCAUUUCUUGAUAACAAUAUACAAAAUUUAGCAAAACAAGAACACUAAUAACACUAUCAAUCUUCUCAUUUCUUGAUAACAAUAUACAAAAUUUAGCAAAACAAGAACACUAAUAACACUAUCAAUCUUCUCAUUUCUUGAUAACAAUAUACAAAAUUUAGCAAAACAAGAACACUAAUAACACUAUCAAUCUUCUCAUUUCUUGAUAACAAUAUACAAAAUUUAGCAAAACAAGAACACUAAUAACACUAUCAAUCUUCUCAUUUCUUGAUAACAAUAUACAAAAUUUAGCAAAACAAGAACACUAAUAACACUAUCAAUCUUCUCAUUUCUUGAUAACAAUAUACAAAAUUUAGCAAAACAAGAACACUAAUAACACUAUCAAUCUUCUCAUUUCUUGAUAACAAUAUACAAAAUUUAGCAAAACAAGAACACUAAUAACACUAUCAAUCUUCUCAUUUCUUGAUAACAAUAUACAAAAUUUAGCAAAACAAGAACACUAAUAACACUAUCAAUCUUCUCAUUUCUUGAUAACAAUAUACAAAAUUUAGCAAAACAAGAACACUAAUAACACUAUCAAUCUUCUCAUUUCUUGAUAACAAUAUACAAAAUUUAGCAAAACAAGAACACUAAUAACACUAUCAAUCUUCUCAUUUCUUGAUAACAAUAUACAAAAUUUAGCAAAACAAGAACACUAAUAACACUAUCAAUCUUCUCAUUUCUUGAUAACAAUAUACAAAAUUUAGCAAAACAAGAACACUAAUAACACUAUCAAUCUUCUCAUUUCUUGAUAACAAUAUACAAAAUUUAGCAAAACAAGAACACUAAUAACACUAUCAAUCUUCUCAUUUCUUGAUAACAAUAUACAAAAUUUAGCAAAACAAGAACACUAAUAACACUAUCAAUCUUCUCAUUUCUUGAUAACAAUAUACAAAAUUUAGCAAAACAAGAACACUAAUAACACUAUCAAUCUUCUCAUUCUUCUAAUUUCUUGAUAACAAUAUACAAAAUUUAGCAAAACAAGAACACUAUCAAUCUUCUCAUUUUUUGAUAACAAUAUACAAAAUUUAGCAAAACAAGAACACUAAUAACACUAUCAAUCCUCUCGUUUCUUGAUAACAAUUUACAAAAUUCAGCCAAACAAGAACACUAAUAACAUUAUCAAUCUUCUCAUUUCUUGAUAACAAAAUACAAAAUUUAGCAAAACAAGAACACUAAUAACACUAUCAAUCCUCUCAUUUCUUGAUAACAAUAUAUAAAAUUUAGCAAAGCAAGAACACUAAUAACACUAUCAAUCUUCUCAUUUCUUGAUAAAAAAAUAGAAAAUUUAGCAAAACAAGAACACUAAUAACACUAUCAAUCUUCUCAUUUCUUAAUAACAAAAUAGAAAAUUUAGCAAAACAAGAACACUAAUAACACUAUUAAUCUUCUCAUUUCUUGAUAACAAUAUACAAAAUUUAGCAAAACAAGAACACUAAUAACAUUAUCAAUCCUCUCAUUUGUUGAUAACAAUAUACAUAAUUUAGCAAAACAAGAACACUAAUAACACUAUCAAUCUUCUCAUUUCUUGAUAACAACAUACAAAAUUUAGCAAAACGAGAACACUAAUAACACUAUCAAUCUUCACAUUUCUUGAUAACAAUAUACAUAAUUU